rnacentral:rRNA from 1 species
CAGCCGUAAACUAUGCGCGUUAGGUGUAUCGGUGACCACGAGUCACCGAGGUGCCGAAGGGAAACCGUGAAACGUGCCGCCUGGGAAGUACGGUCGCGAGGCUGAAACUUAAAGGAAUUGGCGGGGGAGCACCGCAACAGGUGGAGCCUGCGGUUUAAUUGGACUCAACGCCGGGAAGCUCACCGGAUAGGACAGCAGAAUGAUUGCCGGGCUGAAGACCCUGCAUGACUAGCUGAGAGGAGGUGCAUGGCGUAGACGUCU